rfam:Desulfuromonadales bacterium C00003094 3datasets_contig_195269, whole genome shotgun sequence.
CUGGGAGAGCGCUUGAAUGGCAUUCAAGAGGUCAACGGUUCGAUCCCGUUUAGCUCCA